CCUACGAGAGGCAGCAGUAGGGAAUAUUGCUCCAUGGGGGAAACCCUGAAGCAGCAACGCCGCGUGGAGGAUGAAGGUUUUCGGAUUGUAAACUCCUUUUGUUAGAGAAGAUAAUGACGGUAUCUAACGAAUAAGCACCGGCUAACUCCGUGCCAGCAACCACGGUAAUAAGGAGGGUUCAAGCGUUACUCGGAAUCACGGAGCGUACAGAGCGCGUAGGCGGGGUAGCAAGUCAGAUGUGAAAUCAUAUGGCUUAACCAUAGAACUGCAUUCGAAACUGUUAUUCUAGAGUAUGGGAGAGGUAGGUGGACUGCUUGGUGUAGGGGUAAAAUCCGUAGAGAUCAAGAGGAAUACUCAUUGCGAAGGCGACCUGCUAGAACAUAACUGACGCUGAUGCGCGAAAGCGUGGGGAGCAAACAGGAUUAGAUACCCUGGUAGUC
rnacentral:rRNA from 1 species